CACGUAGGGGGCAAGCGUUAUCCGGAAUUAUUGGGCGUAAAGAGCUCGUAGGCGGUUUGUCGCGUCUGCCGUGAAAGUCCGGGGCUCAACUCCGGAUCUGCGGUGGGUACGGGCAGACUAGAGUGAUGUAGGGGAGACUGGAAUUCCUGGUGUAGCGGUGAAAUGCGUAGAUAUCAAGAGGAACACCUGCGGCGAAGGCGGGUUGCUGGGCCGACACUGACGCUGAAGCGCGAAAGCCAGGGGAGCGAACGGG
rnacentral:rRNA from 1 species